AUCGAUGAUGAAGAUGUGGAGGUGGCCUCAGAAGAUCUCAAUCUGCACACGAGUUCAUCAACUUCUUGAAGGACCAGGUGUGGCCUAGACGGGAAGCUGUUAGACCGAGUGUGGAAAGCCAUUUCUUGUUUGUGUGUUGUGAGAGGAUAGAGGAGAAGACCUUGUAGUUAAUGCACAACUGAGAUUGAUCUGUUCCUUUCCAUAUGCAUCUACUUAAUAUAUAGUGUUGGUUGAGGCAGGGGACCCGGACAUGGUAUCUCGUCCACUGCAAUCAUCAGCCAGCGGUAACAUGAUUGCGAUUUGGUUUCUUCCCACACCAGCAUACCAACUCAUGAGCUGAUUCAUUUUGCAUAUAAAAUCCCAGAGUCUGCUAUUAUAAUUGAAGAAUCAUUAUAUUUUAAUGUGAUGAUCGCACGUGGAGAGGCAAAAACCAUGCAUCCUAUUAACGUAAGUGAUAU
rnacentral:lncRNA from 1 species